rnacentral:rRNA from 1 species
UACGUAGGGUGCGAGCGUUAAUCGGAUUUACUGGGCGUAAAGCGUGCGCAGGCGGCCCGUUAAGACAGGUGUGAAAUCCCUGGGCUCAACCUAGGAAUUGCGCUUGUGACUGGCGGGCUCGAGUACGGUAGAGGGGGGCGGAAUUCCUGGUGUAGCAGUGAAAUGCGUAGAGAUCAGGAGGAACACCGAUGGCGAAGGCAGCCCCUUGGGCCUGUACUGACGCUCAUGCACGAAAGCGUGGGGAGCAAACAGG